rnacentral:rRNA from 1 species
UACGUAGGGUGCGAGCGUUGUCCGGAAUUAUUGGGCGUAAAGAGCUCGUAGGCGGUUUGUCGCGUCGGCCGUGAAAACUCGGGGCUUAACCCCGAGCCUGCUUCUGAUACGGGCAGACUAGAGGUAUGCAGGGGAGAACGGAAUUCCUGGUGUAGCGGUGAAAUGCGCAGAUAUCAGGAGGAACACCGGUGGCGAAGGCGGUUCUCUGGGCAUUGCCUGACGCUGAGGAGCGAAAGUGUGGGGAGCGAACAGG